CCUUUUGUAUAAUGGGUCAGCGACUUAUAUUCUGUAGCAAGGUUAACCGAAUAGGGGAGCCGGAGGGAAACCGAGUCUUAAUUGGGCGUUAAGUUGCAGGGUAUAGACCCGAAACCCGGUGAUCUAGCCAUGGGCAGGUUGAAGGUUGGGUAACACUAACUGGAGGACCGAACCGACUAAUGUUGAAAAAUUAGCGGAUGACCUGUGGCUGGGGGUGAAAGGCCAAUCAAACCGGGAGAUAGCUGGUUCUCCCCGAAAGCUAUUUAGGUAGCGCCUCGUGAAUUCAUCUCCGGGGGUAGAGCACUGUUUCGGCUAGGGGGCCAUCCCGGCUUACCAACCCGAUGCAAACUGCGAAUACCGGAGAAUGUUAUCACGGGAGACACACGGCGGGUGCUAACGUCCGUCGUGAAGAGGGAAACAACCCAGACCGCCAGCUAAGGUCCCAAAGUCAUGGUUAAGUGGGAAACGAUGUGGGAAGGCCCAGACAGCCAGGAUGUUGGCUUAGAAGCAGCCAUCAUUUAAAGAAAGCGUAAUAGCUCACUGGUCGAGUCGGCCUGCGCGGAAGAUGUAACGGGGCUAAACCAUGCACCGAAGCUGCGGCAGCGACGCUGAUGCGUUGUUGGGUAGGGGAGCGUUCUGUAAGCCUGUGAAGGUGGCCUGUGAGGGUUGCUGGAGGUAUCAGAAGUGCGAAUGCUGACAUAAGUAACGAUAAAGCGGGUGAAAAGCCCGCUCGCCGGAAGACCAAGGGUUCCUGUCCAACGUUAAUCGGGGCAGGGUGAGUCGACCCCUAAGGCGAGGCCGAAAGGCGUAGUCGAUGGGAAACGGGUUAAUAUUCCCGUACUUGGUGUUACUGCGAAGGGGGGACGGAGAAGGCUAUGUUGGCCGGGCGACGGUUGUCCCGGUUUAAGCGUGUAGGUGUGUGUUCCAGGUAAAUCCGGUUCACUUUAACACUGAGGCGUGAUGACGAGGCACUACGGUGCUGAAGCAACAAAUGCCCUGCUUCCAGGAAAAGCCUCUAAGCAUCAGGUAACAUCAAAUCGUACCCCAAACCGACACAGGUGGUCAGGUAGAGAAUACCAAGGCGCUUGAGAGAACUCGGGUGAAGGAACUAGGCAAAAUGGUGCCGUAACUUCGGGAGAAGGCACGCUGACACGUAGGUGAAGUGAUUUACUCAUGGAGCUGAAGUCAGUCGAAGAUACCAGCUGGCUGCAACUGUUUAUUAAAAACACAGCACUGUGCAAACACGAAAGUGGACGUAUACGGUGUGACGCCUGCCCGGUGCCGGAAGGUUAAUUGAUGGGGUCAGCGCAAGCGAAGCUCCUGAUCGAAGCCCCGGUAAACGGCGGCCGUAACUAUAACGGUCCUAAGGUAGCGAAAUUCCUUGUCGGGUAAGUUCCGACCUGCACGAAUGGCGUAAUGAUGGCCAGGCUGUCUCCACCCGAGACUCAGUGAAAUUGAACUCGCUGUGAAGAUGCAGUGUACCCGCGGCAAGACGGAAAGACCCCGUGAACCUUUACUAUAGCUUGACACUGAACAUUGAGCCUUGAUGUGUAGGAUAGGUGGGAGGCUUUGAAGUGUGGACGCCAGUCUGCAUGGAGCCGGCCUUGAAAUACCACCCUUUAAUGUUUGAUGUUCUAACGUGGACCCGUGAUCCGGGUUGCGGACAGUGUCUGGUGGGUAGUUUGACUGGGGCGGUCUCCUCCUAAAGAGUAACGGAGGAGCACGAAGGUUGGCUAAUCCUGGUCGGACAUCAGGAGGUUAGUGCAAUGGCAUAAGCCAGCUUGACUGCGAGCGUGACGGCGCGAGCAGGUGCGAAAGCAGGUCAUAGUGAUCCGGUGGUUCUGAAUGGAAGGGCCAUCGCUCAACGGAUAAAAGGUACUCCGGGGAUAACAGGCUGAUACCGCCCAAGAGUUCAUAUCGACGGCGGUGUUUGGCACCUCGAUGUCGGCUCAUCACAUCCUGGGGCUGAAGUAGGUCCCAAGGGUAUGGCUGUUCGCCAUUUAAAGUGGUACGCGAGCUGGGUUUAGAACGUCGUGAGACAGUUCGGUCCCUAUCUGCCGUGGGCGCUGGAGAACUGAGGGGGGCUGCUCCUAGUACGAGAGGACCGGAGUGGACGCAUCACUGGUGUUCGGGUUGUCAUGCCAAUGGCACUGCCCGGUAGCUAAAUGCGGAAGAGAUAAGUGCUGAAAGCAUCUAAGCACGAAACUUGCCCCGA
rnacentral:rRNA from 1 species